UACGGAGGGGGCUAGCGUUGUCCGAAGGUACUGGGCGUAAAGGGCGCGUAGGCGGCUUGGCAAGUGGAUGGUGAAAUCCCUCGGCUUAACCGAGGAACUGCCGUCCAAACUGCUUCGCUUGAGACCGGGAGAGGUGAGUGGAAUUCCCAGUGUAGCGGUGAAAUGCGUAGAUAUUGGGAGGAACACCAGUGGCGAAGGCGGCUCACUGGACCGGUACUGACGCUGAUGCGCGAAAGCGUGGGGAGCAAACGGG
rnacentral:rRNA from 1 species